GUUUAAAUAGUUUAAUAAAAACAUUAGUCUUGUAAACUAAAAAUAAAAAAAAAUUUUUUUUAAACU
rnacentral:tRNA from 1 species